rnacentral:rRNA from 1 species
CAAUAGCGUAUAUUUAAGUUGUUGCAGUUAAAAAGCUCGUAGUUGGAUUUCGGUUAAGAGCGACCGGUCCGCCGUUUGGUGUGCACUGGUUGGUUUUAACUUCCUGUAGAGGACGUGCUCUGGGUUUAACGACCUGGACUCGGAGUCUACGUGGUUACUUUGAAAAAAUUAGAGUGUUCAAAGCGGGCUUACGCUUGAAUAUUUCAGCAUGGAAUGACACUAUAGGACUCCUGUCCUAUUUCGUUGGUCUCGGGACGGGAGUAAUGAUUAAGAGGAACAGUUGGGGGCAUUCGUAUUUCAUUGUCAGAGGUGAAAUUCUUGGAUUUAUGAAAGACGAACUUCUGCGAAAGCAUUUGCCAAGGAUGUUUUCAUUAA